GCGAAAAGAGUGAGCACCUAGCAAGUCGACCUCUUCAAGCUUUAAGCGGUCAUUGAUUCGGAAGUGGCAACUAUUAUUUGGGGUAUUGCGUGUGAGUUCAUAAUUAGCCAGAAAAGAACACUGAAAAUGGGGAUUACAAGUCUGUAAUUUGUUUGUGGAGAAUCAGUUUUCAUUCAAAAGUGACAAUGUCAAUCGUAAACAGCUUCGUGAUGAAUUUCAUGUCCAAAAAACUUGUAUGCUUUGUGUUAGUUCAAAUCGUCAUGACGACGAGUGCUACUGCGAACGCUUCCGAGGUCACACUCCCUGGCUACGUCGUUACUCGCAAUCAAAGCGCUGGCAACAGGACCAUUGAUUUUCAAUCCAACGAAACAGGAUCAGCUGCAACACAAUUUGCAACACCACUGCCACUAGUUGAAGCUGCCACAGGCCCGGUGGCAGCCACCACUACGGAACCACCAGCUUCAGCGCUACAAGUUGGAUCAGCCAAAAUAGGUGGAACACAGACAGCAGGAGCAGUAGACACGGAAUCGGGAGUAACAGAAGUUGCAGACUCACUAACAACAGCAGAAACUGUUGUUCGAUCCACUGCAUUUGCACGGCCACUAUCACCAGCGACAACUGUAACAGACCUUGCAGCAACAACGCUAGCUCCCGAAGCCGUGACACCUGCAUCAGUACCACGGCCAAAAGCCGCCUCAAAUAAAAUAUUCCCUAGUGGCGGUACAGUGACAUUCGGGCUACCAACACCCGCACCACAAGUGACAGCAGAUACUCCAGUAGCAGCAGCACUGAUAGAGAAGUUCACAACAUCUGCCGGUGUUACCAGGUCUUCAUCCAAUAAACUGAUUGCCCGUCGAUCACAAGCACGAGCAACUGCAGCAGAGAAAGUAUUAGAAGUGGCACCAUUACUGCUAAAAGUCUCAGUUAGCACUGCAGUAUCGAAGAUAAGGUCAAUUUUUUCUCGACUCUUAAAACCAGAACCUGCUACCUUGACUCCUACAGAACCUGCUACCUUAACUCCUACGGAACCUGCUACCUUAACUCCUACAGAACCUGCUACCGUAACUCCUACAGAACCUGAUACCUUGACUCCUACGGAACCUGCUACCUUGACUCCUACGGAACCUGCUACCUUAACUCCUACGGAACUUGCUACCUUAACUCCAAUAGAACCUGCUACCUUAACUCCUACGGAACUUGCUACCUUGACUCCUACAGAAGCUGCUACCUUGACUCCUACAGAAGCUGCUACCUUAACUCCUACGGAACCUGCUGAGCUCGACACUGCCUUUUACCUCACCACCAAGGCUGAUCAAGAUCAUCCAUUGAAACCGGAACCAUCUGAUAUUGAGGUGCUGAAGAGAGCGCCUCUUAAUCCUCCUACAGAACCUGCUACCUUGACUCCUACAGAACCUGCUACCUCAACUUCUACGGAACCUGCUACCUUAACUCCUACGGAACCUGCUACCUUAACUCCUACGGAACCUCCUACCUUAACUCAUACAGAAGCUGCUACUUUGACUCCUACAGAAGCUGCUACCUUAACUCCUACGGAACCUGCUACCUUAACUCCUACGGAACCAGCUGAGCUCGAAACUGCCUUUUACCUCACCACCAAGGCUGAUCAAGAUCAUCCCUUGAAACUGAACCUGUCUGAUAUUGAGGUGCUGAAGAGAGCGCCUCUUAAUCCUGGCGGCCGCCUCAUAAUCCUCGUACACGGCUUCAAGCCGUCAGGAAGCUCUUCCAAUUGGACGGAGAAAAUGAGAAGAGAGCUGAUGGAAGCUGAUAGCUCUAGCAACGUGGUGGUAGUGGACUGGUCCAAGGGCGCCGAGGGCGCUGUGGACGACGAGGGCGCCGAACACAACAGGUUGUGGAAUAUCUACAGUGGAAUAUCGCAGCGGCGGAGAACCAAUCUUGCUAAUCUUGUUAGACAUAUGGUUAUCGAGUUGAUUAAAUCCUACAAGCAGGCUGUAAAGAAUACGGAAAUAGUGGCUCGGGAACUCGCCUCCCUCAUUAACAGCUUGCAGGAACUGCAUGGUAUCCCGAGUAGCAGGAUCGAACUGAUAGGCCACAGUCUGGGGGCACACUUGAGUGGCAUGACCGGUGCUUAUCUGCAGGAGCACUAUGGAACCAAGGUUCAGAAAAUUACAGGGCUAGACCCAGCCAAAUCGGGGUACGGAGGCAACGACACUUACAUAGGACUGAAGCGAGGCAACGCCGAUGAAUUGUACAGAAUUACAAGGCUAGUCCUAGCCAAAUGGGGGUACGGAGGCAACGUCACUUACAUAGGACUGAAGCGAGGCGACGCCGAUGAAUUGUACAGAAUUACAAGGCUAGUCCUAGCCAAAUGGAGGUACGGAGGCAACAAAACUUACAUAGGACUGAAGCGAGGCGACGCCGAUGAAGUGAUUGUCUAUCACACCGACACAGUCUUGUUUGGCAUAAAGGACCCCAUCGGCGACAUAGACCUCUACAUCAACGGCGGAAAAAGUCAGCCGGAAUGUUCUGGUAAAAGGUACAUGCCGGUGCUGCCAACCUCCCUACGAGUGCGUGGAAUUUGGAAUAAAUUCUGUGGUCCCUGAUAACCUUUCAGGCCGCGCUAUCUACUAUGUGGACGAAAGUUCCGUUGAUAGUAAACACGUGUACGACGUUAACAUCACCAUGAGCAACACUGGAUAUGAAUUUAAAUUGGACCACCUUAUCAUCAAAGGCACU
rnacentral:misc_RNA from 1 species